GGAGACCUAAAGCACCUGAAGACGUUCGACCGGGGAAUGGUCUGGAACACGGACCUGGUGGAGACCCUGGAGCUGCAGAACCUGAUGCUGUGUGCGCUGCAGACCAUCUACGGAGCAGAGGCGCGGAAGGAGUCACGGGGCACGCACGCCAGGGAAGGCUACAAGGUCGGCCUUCUCACCACGCCCACCUGCACCUGCCUUUUCCUCCCGCCUGGUGGGACUCAGCCCCACCCCUGCAUUUUCUCUGCAUUUUAUUUCGUUGCCCC
rnacentral:lncRNA from 1 species